rnacentral:rRNA from 1 species
GAUGAACGCUGGCGGCGUGCCUAAUACAUGCAAGUCGAACGCUGGAAAUCUAGCUUGCUAGAUUGAAGGAGUGGCGAACGGGUGAGUAAUACAUAAGCAACCUACCCACGAAGACUGGGAUAAUCGCUGGAAACGGGGACUAAUACCGGAUAGGUAAUCGGAAGGCAUCUUCUGAUUAUUAAAGGUUAAAAACACUGGUGGAUGGGCUUAUGGCGCAUUAGUUAGUUGGUGAGGUAACGGCCCACCAAGACGAUGAUGCGUAGCCGGCCUGAGAGGGUGAACGGCCACAUUGGGACUGAGACACGGCCCAGACGCCUACGGGAGGCAGCAGUAGGGAAUUUUAGGCAAUGGGGGAAACCCUGACCGAGCAACGCCGCGUGAGUGAUGACGGCCUUCGGGUUGUAAAGCUCUGUUGUAAGGGAAGAACGGUAGAUAGAGAAUAUCUAAAUGAGGGUACCUUACCAGAAAGCCACGGCUAACUACGUG